rnacentral:rRNA from 1 species
UACGAAGGGGGCGAGCGUUGUUCGGAUUUACUGGGCGUAAAGGGCGCGCAGGCGGCUCAUUUUGUCAGGCGUGAAAGCCCCGGGCUUAACCUGGGAGGUGCGUUUGAUACGGAUGGGCUAGAGUUCGGGAGAGGAGAGUGGAAUUCCCCAGUGUAGAGGUGAAAUUCGUAGAUAUUGGGAAGAACACCCGUGGCGAAGGCGGCACUCUGGGACGGUACUGACGCUGAGACGCGAAAGCGUGGGGAGCGAACAGG